GGGGAGAGCAGGCGGAGGAGUGCAGCCGUGAACAGGAGGAGGAGACGGAUAAUCGUCAGGAAGACCCCGGGCUAUUACCCCUGAUUAAAGGACACGGAUGCAGUUUGUAUCACUGUUUGGUUAAGGCUGUUAUUUAAAAAGCAUAAAAGAGUGCCCGAUUUAUUUAGUCUGAUCCUGGGUUUGAGGACAGAUGGAUGGACAGGUAGAGGCAGCGGAGCCUCAAAAACAAUAUUUCACUGAAGGUAGAACAGUGUGACCAGUGCUUCUCACAUGUCACGCACACUCCCGCGCACACAAUCUUCUCACAUGUCAGGUGAAAGGUUGUAACCCUGCACUAACAGCUCUGUUUCCUUUGCCAUCGGAUACGAGAGCUUCACCCGGUAUCCCUAAAUGGUUGAGAAAAGGAAGCGCGGUGCAGUGAAUGACCAUCAUUGAAAUGACGGCGAGGUCAAGGACUAACUGCAUGUGUGCUCGUGUUUGCAUGUGUGUCUAUGUUGACACUGAGGAAAUGGAGAUAUGAAUGGCUACGUUCAGGAAUGCCAAACAGUGACUUUAGAGGUGGUUCUACAGCGGUAUUGGUGAUGAUGACUGAUAAUCAUGUCAUUUGAAAUAAUUGGGUAAUUGGGGUAAUGGGUUUUCACUGUGGGCCUGUGAGCGUAUCAUCGUAAACGUAAACUGCCGUAUGAGGCCAUCUACACAUUGCUGUCCAGAGGUAUAAUAGGGUGCUACAGGUAAUUGUCUGCUGGGUGCAUUUUUAUUUUGGGUUUGGAUUACGAGACAUACAAAAUAGAGACCGUUGCUACACCAGGAUUUCAGAAAAAAAAGCAAAGAGAAUGAUAAAUGUAAAAAAAAAAGGAGAUGGAGAGGUUCUGUCAAGUAGUUAAUGGUGGCUCAGGGUUUUUCGAUAGACAAUAUUCGUAAAAAUGGAGCGCAUUACAAUAGCAGACUGACAUUAAAAUCCUGGUGCCAUUUUAGAUUUAAUGACAUGCUGGGUGGUGUCCAACUACAUUUAAUGUGCUCAUCUGCAUAAUAGCGCUGCAGGAUUGGCAGGGGGAGUAAUACCUCUGUGUGAUCAAUCUCUUCUUUCUUUAUCUCUCUCGCAGACUCUUUCAUUUACACACAUACUCACACAAUCGCACACACGAACAAAUGAUCAUGAGCAUAUCUUUUGCAUUAACUUAGCCUGUGAAAAGGGGUACAAAAGGACAUUUGUGUAAUUAGAAUCAAGAUCAAGCCAAAAUACAAGUUCUUUAAAAAAAAUUCUCAUUAUAUAGUUUGCCUUUUAUAUUACACAUUCGAAUUGUAGAAAUUUCACUUUAACAUGUUCUCUUCACACUAAUACAAACAAAAUCAUUUAUUUCCUCUUGCUGAGAAGUGCAAAUUUGCUUCAAUGAUUACAGCAAUAACAGUAAUAAAAUGUAUUAUAUUAAUGAGGCGAAAAGCACAGUGGAAUGAAGUUGCAGUAGUCUUUAAAAUUGUCUGGCGCUCCCGGGAAGGAUAUCAGACACCAUCGACAGAAAUAGUUCAGCCUUGAAUCCAGCGAGCGGACCUGAACAGCUGGAAGGACGGAGGCUCAUGAAUCUUGUGAAAUGACACUUUCCACUGAGAACGUUAUGUCAUUUAUCAAGUUGAUUGUGACUUUUAUUUCAACUCUCUCUUCAUUUCUCUUUAGGUAACACACACACACACACACACACACACACACAUAUCUGGUGAGCAUAGGAUUCUGAUGAAAUUCAUAGCAGGUAGGAUGUGACCUUCACAGUGUGAAAUAUAUUCUCUGCUUAUUCCUUCACAUAUUUCAACAUUAGGCAUGCUGAAGGAGCCAUAAAAUGGCAGUGAGUGCGGCCAUCCGUCACUUGCACAAGGCUGCUGAACAUCUUCUGCCCAAAUGAUAGCUGUGCCCUUCAUGCUUGCCAAAAAAUGAUGCCUCGGAACCUUUCACCAUGCAAGCACUUCUAAUGCAAUCAAGUUUUCUUUCAAUAGUUGUGCAUGUGAGUUCAGUGUUGCCAUACGGGUUAAUUAAGACAGGUAUGUUCCCGCCAUGAAGCAACAUGACCACCAACAUGCACGUCGAUUUGGGAAAGACAUCAAAGACCAGGCCAUAUGGGUGAGGCUGUCAACACUACAGGGACGAAGAAGGGAGGAAGGAAGCAGAAAAGACAUUAGAAAAAAUACCGCCCAUUUCACAAGCUAACAUUUUUUUUAAAAGCAUGUUAGACCUCCAUAUGUCUGUUGACGAUUAAGGAAAGCAAUCAGCCAGCAAAGAAUGUAGGAUGAGCUCAUUAAGAAGUCGGGGGCUUAUCACACUCAAAGAAACGCAGGCAGCACUGAAUCAUCCAUCAUACAAACCCGUUUUAAAGCACAAGGAGGACCCGCUGUGCAUCAGGUCUUUGAAUGAUGAAGCAGUGUACGGGGUCGGAUGCUAGUUUCUUUGCAAAUGAAACUAGCAUUGACUGUUUCUCGCUUCAUUACUCCUGAAAAAGAUUUUUCUUUCAACCGGAGCAUGGGCCUUUCCAUUUAUUAUUUCAACUGUAACCGAUUAAACGGAUGAUACAAGAAAUCUGUCCUUGCACUUCAAUUCCAUGCUGCAGUUGCAUGCUGUGGCGUCACCACCAAAUGUUGUUAACAAUCAUGAACAGACAUGUGACACGCCAGUCUAUAAUUAUAUAUGUAUACUUGUCUGGUGAUGAAGUUACUCGUUGCAUGCAAUGGGGUUAGUAUUGCCACUAAAAUCCAGUUGCUGAGUUGACUUUAAAACCAGAUUCAUGUUAUUGUCCAGCCUGCGCCGCAUUUUAUUGCUUUUCCAGAAAUGUUGUCAUCAUUUUGUUUUUGUCGGGAAUUUAGCGAUGCCAGGCAGAGUCCUUCAAUAUAGUUUGUUUUCACCGUCUGCUUGUCUGUGUUUUCUGUUACUCGUCCCUGGUUUCAGGCUCCCCCCCCUUCCUGUGUGAUUGUAAGCUCCUCCCUGAUUGUUUCCCCCUGUGACUCGUUGCCCACCCUGUGUAUUUAGUCUGUGUCAAUCCCAGUUCUGUUUCCAGCGAGUUUAACAGCAAUUCCUGGUGGGUUCCCCCCCGUGUGUCCGUCUGUGUUAGUUUCCGUGUACCUGUGAGUUUUGCCGGUUGAUUUGGAUACCGUUGCCUGUGUGACUGACUACACGUGUACCGAAACCCUCUUCAGUAAACUAUCUAUUUUUCAGCCUGACUGAGUCUGCUUUUGAGUUCUGCCCCUGUGGUUGCCAAUCGCUCACAGGCGACGCACUUGGGAACUUAACUCCCAAGUUGAAACAGUUCGGUUUGGACUGGAUCCCCCUGUCAAACAGGCAAAUUGUGUUCAUUAUUGCAAAACAGCAAUAGUUUGGAAA
ensembl:lncRNA